GAUGAACGCUGGCGGCGUGCCUAAUACAUGCAAGUCGAGCGAACAGACGAGGAGCUUGCUCCUCUGACGUUAGCGGCGGACGGGUGAGUAACACGUGGAUAACCUACCUAUAAGACUGGGAUCACUUCGGGAAACCGGAGCUAAUACCGGAUAAUAUAUUGAACCGCAUGGUUCAAUAGUGAAAGCCGGUUUUGCUGUCACUUAUAGAUGGAUCCGCGCCGCAUUAGCUAGUUGGUAAGGUAACGGCUUACCAAGGCAACGAUGCGUAGCCGACCUGAGAGGGUGAUCGGCCACACUGGAACUGAGACACGGUCCAGACUCCUACGGGAGGCAGCAGUAGGGAAUCUUCCGCAAUGGGCGAAAGCUUGACGGAGCAACGCCGCGUGAGUGAUGAAGGUCUUCGGAUCGUAAAACUCUGUUAUUAGGGAAGAACAAAUGUGUAAGUAACUAUGCACGUCUUGACGGUACCUAAUCAGAAAGCCACGGCUAACUACGUG
rnacentral:rRNA from 1 species